rnacentral:rRNA from 1 species
CCCGACCUAUUUUACCACGCCGACUGGGAAAGGGGGGCUUACCAUGCUGUCGAGCGGAAUCGUUUUAUCUGCAUCCUUCGGGGAGACUAUAAGGGCUUCGAGGGCGGCGGACGGGUUAGAUAAUGCCUUAGGAAAUUGCCCUGGUGUGGGGGGAUACCCCUUGGGAAAAGGGUGGUUUAAUCCCCGCAUGAUGCCUUGGGGCCAAAAGAGGGGGACCUUUGGGCCCUCUCGCGCUCCGGAAUAUGCCUAGGUGGGGAUUAAGCUAGUUGGUGAGGUAAGGGCUCCCCCAGGGGGACGAUCCCUAGCUGGUCUGAGAGGAUGUUCAGCCCCACUGGAAUUGAGACACGGUCCCAGAUUCCUACGGGAGGCAGCAGUGGGGAAUAUUGCACAAUGGGCGCAAGCCUGAUGCAGCCAUGCCGCGUGUGUGAAGAAGGCCUUCGGGUUGUAAAGCACUUUCAGUCGUGAGGAAGGUAGUGUAGUUAAUAGCUGCAUUAUUUGACGUUAGCGACAGAAGAAGCACCGGCUAACUCCGUGCCAGCAGCCGCGGUAAUACGGAGGGUGCGAGCGUUAAUCGGAAUUACUGGGCGUAAAGCGCAUGCAGGUGGUUUGUUAAGUCAGAUGUGAAAGCCCGGGGCUCAACCUCGGAAUUGCAUUUGAAACUGGCAGACUAGAGUACUGUAGAGGGGGGUAGAAUUUCAGGUGUAGCGGUGAAAUGCGUAGAGAUCUGAAGGAAUACCGGUGGCGAAGGCGGCCCCCUGGACAGAUACUGACACUCAGAUGCGAAAGCGUGGGGAGCAAACAGGAUUAGAUACCCUGGUAGUCCACGCCGUAAACGAUGUCUACUUGGAGGUUGUGGCCUUGAGCCGUGGCUUUCGGAGCUAACGCGUUAAGUAGACCGCCUGGGGAGUACGGUCGCAAGAUUAAAACUCAAAUGAAUUGACGGGGGCCCGCACAAGCGGUGGAGCAUGUGGUUUAAUUCGAUGCAACGCGAAGAACCUUACCUACUCUUGACAUCCAGAGAACUUUCCAGAGAUGGAUUGGUGCCUUCGGGAACUCUGAGACAGGUGCUGCAUGGCUGUCGUCAGCUCGUGUUGUGAAAUGUUGGGUUAAGUCCCGCAACGAGCGCAACCCUUAUCCUUGUUUGCCAGCGAGUAAUGUCGGGAACUCCAGGGAGACUGCCGGUGAUAAACCGGAGGAAAGGUGGGGACGACGUCAAGUCAUCAUGGGCCCUUACGAGUAGGGCUUACACCCGUGGCUACAAUGGGGCCAUACAGAGGGGGGCCCAAUUUGCGAAAGUGAGGCGAAUCCCAAAAAGUGGGUCGUAGUCCCGGAUUGGAGUCUGCACCCUCGACUCCCUCGAAGUCGGAAAUCGCUUGUAAUCUGUGGAUCAGAAUGCCCCCGGUGAAAUACUUUCCCGGGCCCUUUUAACACACCGCGUGUCACACCAUGGGAGUGGGGUGCCA